rnacentral:rRNA from 1 species
UGGCCUUGACAUACCAAGAACCUAAUAGAGAUAUAAGGGUGCUAGUUUACUAGAACUUGGAUACAGGUGCUGCACGGCUGUCGUCAGCUCGUGUCGUGAGAUGUUAGGUUAAGUCCUGCAACGAGCGCAACCCUCGUGUUUAGUUACUAACAGUUCGGCUGAGGACUCUAAACAUACUGCCUGGGCAACCAGGAGGAAGGUGAGGACGACGUCAAGUCAUCAUGGCCCUUAUGGCCAGGGCUACACACGUGCUACAAUGGGGUAUACAAAGAGCCGCAAUACCGCGAGGUGGAGCAAAUCUCAUAAAAUAUCUCCCAGUUCGGAUUACACUCUGCAACUCGAGUGUAUGAAGUUGGAAUCGCUAGUAAUCGUAGAUCAGCAAUGCUACGGUGAAUACGUUCCCGGGUCU